rnacentral:rRNA from 1 species
CGGCGAGUGAGCGGCAAAAGCUCAAAUUUGAAAUCUGGUACCUUCGGUGCCCGAGUUGUAAUUUGGAGAGGGCAACUUUGGGGCCGUUCCUUGUCUAUGUUCCUUGGAACAGGACGUCAUAGAGGGUGAGAAUCCCGUGUGGCGAGGAGUGCGGUUCUUUGUAAAGUGCCUUCGAAGAGUCGAGUUGUUUGGGAAUGCAGCUCUAAGUGGGUGGUAAAUUCCAUCUAAAGCUAAAUAUUGGCGAGAGACCGAUAGCGAACAAGUACAGUGAUGGAAAGAUGAAAAGAACUUUGAAAAGAGAGUGAAAAAGUACGUGAAAUUGUUGAAAGGGAAGGGCAUUUGAUCAGACAUGGUGUUUUGUGCCCUCUGCUCCUUGUGGGUAGGGGAAUCUCGCAUUUCACUGGGCCAGCAUCAGUUUUGGUGGCAGGAUAAAUCCAUAGGAAUGUAGCUUGCCUCGGUAAGUAUUAUAGCCUGUGGGAAUACUGCCAGCUGGGACUGAGGACUGCGACGUAAGUCAAGGAUGCUGGCAUAAUGGUUAUAUGCCGCCCGUCUUGAAACACGGACC